AGACCGCCAUGGUGACUUGCAAGCAACUCACUGUACUUAGGCACUGGACUACCUGAAUUUCUAAUUCAGUGACGGAAGGCUGCUGGGUGUAGUCAAGUACUUGACUUAUCGGUGCGUGUGUCAAGAUGGGAUUGACCACUCCAGUUCAGGAGCUGUGUAUAGUCGUGUUUCAAUUUAGCAAAACCUUCGUCAGGGUAGUCCU
rnacentral:lncRNA from 1 species